CCUACGGGGCGCACCAGUGGGGAAUAUUGCACAAUGGGCGCACGCCUGAUGCAGCCAUGCCGCGUGUAUGAAGAAGGCCUUCGGGUUGUAAAGUACUUUCAGCGGGGAGGAAGGCGAUAAGGUUAAUAACCUUGUCGAUUGACGUUACCCGCAGAAGAAGCACCGGCUAACUCCGUGCCAGCAGCCGCGGUAAUACGGAGGGUGCAAGCGUUAAUCGGAAUUACUGGGCGUAAAGCGCACGCAGGCGGUCUGUCAAGUCGGAUGUGAAAUCCCCGGGCUCAACCUGGGAACUGCAUUCGAAACUGGCAGGCUAGAGUCUUGUAGAGGGGGGUAGAAUUCCAGGUGUAGCGGUGAAAUGCGUAGAGAUCUGGAGGAAUACCGGUGGGGAAGGCGGCCCCCCGGACAAAGACUGACGCUCAGGUGCGAAAGCGUGGGGAGUAAACAGGAUUAGAUACCCCGGUAGUC
rnacentral:rRNA from 1 species